rnacentral:rRNA from 1 species
UACAGAGGUCUCAAGCGUUGUUCGGAUUCAUUGGGCGUAAAGGGUGCGUAGGCGGCGCGGUAAGUCGGGUGUGAAAUCUUGGAGCUUAACUCCGAACUGCAUUCGAUACUGCCGUGCUUGAGGACUGGAGAGGAGACUGGAAUUUACGGUGUAGCGGUGAAAUGCGUAGAUAUCGUAAGGAAGACCAGUGGCGAAGGCGGGUCUCUGGACAGUUC